rnacentral:lncRNA from 1 species
UGUUUGGUAACUUUCAAAUUGGAAACAAGAGUCAAAUUAUAUUAUUGAUCUUCUAAAAUAGGGAAAAAAUUGAAGAGGGUGCCAUCUUACAGAUACCUAUGUGCAACAGACUUAUUUAUGUUUAUUACUCGGUACUUUAAUGUGCUUAUAUACACUAUCAUUUAGGAGAUCAAUGAGCUUGGUGAAGAUGAACUGCGAAUUCUGACGUCCGCUUUUUUUUUUGAAUAACAUGGUUUCUUAUUUAUAUCUUAAUGGAAAAUUAUGCAAGAAGUCUGAAACUUGGCACCAACUCUUGAGGGUUCUUGGAUACCAUUGAAUUGUUCCAUUAAAGAGAGAGCGCAAUGCACAAACUGGUGGAUAGGUUAACACAACGGUUCUAUCAAAAGGGUUAAAUUAAAAACACAGUUUUCCCUGAGAAUUUAGUUAAUUCUAAGUCAUUUUUUGUCACAUUUGUCAAAGAUACUUGGUAACCUCAUAUUUAUUCUUUUCAGCCGGAAAAAAAAUAAUGAUGAUGAAGACAAUGAGGAUUGUGAUGUUGGAACUGGCGAAGAAGGUGCUGAUAAUCAAAAGAAAAAGCUAAGAAGAAGAAAAAGAGAAUGUUUAAUGUUGAAGAAUUUAAACUCCUUCCUUUUCUCAAUACUGAUAAAAAUGUUGAUAUGAAACUAGACAAAAAAGAGGAUAAACUAGCAAAGCAAUCAGAUAAACUUGUCCUCCCCACUUCCUUGCGUACCAAAAGUGGUUAAUAAAUCGAGAGAUAUUUUCACACCUGAAGGAGAAGCAGUCGGGAAAAUGGAUGAAUUCAGAGGCUGCCAGGCAUCCUGCUAAUGAGGAAAUUUUCAAUAAUGACAUGGAUCACUCGAUGAUGGACGGACACAAUCCUCUGUCCCUGCCUUUUCCAACAACACCACCAAACCCUUUGCCUUUGGACCUUCCCAUGAACGAUUCGCCUAAAAGUUUGAAAGAUACUCAAGAAGAAACUGAGGAAUAA